rnacentral:rRNA from 1 species
GGUUUGAUUAUGGCUCAGAUUGAACGCUGGCGGGAUGCUUUACACAUGCAAGUCGAACGGCAGCACGGACUUCGGUCUGGUGGCGAGUGGCGAACGGGUGAGUAAUGUAUCGGAACGUGCCUAGUAGCGGGGGAUAACUACGCGAAAGCGUAGCCACACGUACAUGCCUCGGGGGAAAGCGGGGGACCUUUCGGGCCUCGCACUAUUAGAGCGGCCGAUAUCGGAUUAGCUAGUUGGUGUGGGGUAACGGCUCACCAAGGCGACGAUCCGUAGCUGGUUUGAGAGGACGACCAGCCACACUGGGACUGAGACACGGCCAGACUCCUACGGGAGGCAGCAGUGGGGAAUUUUGGACAAUGGGAAACCCCGAUCCAGCUAUCCCAUGUGUGCGAUGAAGGCCUUCGCUAAAGCACUUUUGCGGUGAAAGAAUCAGGCACGGGAUAAUACCCCGUGCAACUGACGGUACCUGCAGAACAAGCACCGGCCAACUACCGCCAGCAGCCGCGGUAAUACGUAGGGGUGCAAGCGUUAAUCGGAAUUACUGGGCGUAAAGCGUGCGCAGGCGGUGGUCUGGAAAAAGAAAGUUACGGAAUCCCAGAGCUUAACUUUGGAACUGCAUUUUUAACUACCGAGCCAGAGUGUGUCAGAGGGAGGUGGAAUUCCGCGUGUAGCAGUGGGAAAUGCGCAUAUGCGAGGAACACCGACGGCAUGGCAGCCUCCCCUGGGAUAACACUGACGCCCAUGCACGAAAAAGGAGCAACAGGAUUAGAUAAUUCUGGUAGUCCACGCCCAAACGAUGUCAACUAGCUGUUGGGCCUUCGCCCUGGUAGCGCAGCUAACGCGUGAAGUUGACCGCCCGGGGAGCAUGUCGCAAGAUUAAAACCAAAGGAAUUGACGGGGACUCGCACAAGCGGUGGAUGAUGUGAUUAAUCUGAUGCAACACGAAAACCCACCCACUUUUGACAUGUCUGGAAUCCCAAAUAGAUUUGGGAGUGCCCGCAAGAGAACCGAAUACAGGGGUGCUGCAUGGUUGUCGUCAGCCUGUGUCGUGAGAUGUUGGGUUAAGUCCCGCAACGAGCGCAACCCUUGUCAUUAGUUGCUACGAAAGGGCACUCUAAUGAGACUGCCGGUGACAAACCGGAGGAAGGUGGGGAUGACGUCAAGUCCUGGCCUUAUGGGUAGGGCUUCGCCACGUCAUACAAUGGUCGGGACAGAGGGUCGCCAACCCGCGAGGGGAGCUAACCCUAGAAACUCGAUCGUAGUCCGGAUCGCAGUCUGCACCUGACCGGUGCGCAGGCCGAAUCGCUAGUAAUCGCGACUAGCAUGUCGCGGUGGAACACGUUCCCGGGUCUUGUACACACCGCCCGUCACACCAUGGGCGGGGUUUUACCAGAAGCAGUUAGUCAACCCGUAAGGAGGGCGAUUACCACGGUAGGAUUCAUGACUGGGGUGAAGUCGUAAAUAA